GACGAACGCUGGCGGCGUGCCUAAUACAUGCAAGUCGAGCGCAGGAAAUCGACGGAACCCUUCGGGGGGAAGUCGACGGAAUGAGCGGCGGACGGGUGAGUAACACGUAAAGAACCUGCCCUCAGGUCUGGGAUAACCACGAGAAACCGGGGCUAAUACCGGAGGGGUCAUCGGACCGCAUGGUCCGAGGAUGAAAGGCGCUUCGGCGUCGCCUGGGGAUGGCUUUGCGGUGCAUUAGCUAGUUGGAGGGGUAAUGGCCCACCAAGGCGACGAUGCAUAGCCGACCUGAGAGGGUGAUCGGCCACACUGGGACUGAGACACGGCCCAGACUCCUACGGGAGGCAGCAGUAGGGAAUCUUCCACAACGGACGAAAGUCUGAUGGAGCAACGCCGCGUGAACGAUGAAGGCCUUCGGGUCGUAAAGUUCUGUUGUAAGGGAAGAACAAGUGCCGCAGGCAAUGGCGGCACCUUGACGGUACCUUGCGAGAAAGCCACGGCUAACUACGUGCCAGCCGCCGCGGUAA
rnacentral:rRNA from 1 species